rnacentral:rRNA from 1 species
UACGUAGGUGGCAAGCGUUGUCCGGAAUUAUCGGGCGUAAAGCGCGCGCAGGUGGUUUCUUAAGUCUGAUGUGAAAGCCCACGGCUCAACCGUGGAGGGUCAUUGGAAACUGGGGAACUUGAGUGCAGGAGAGAAGAGUGGAAUUCCACGUGUAGCGGUGAAAUGCGUAGAGAUGUGGAGGAACACCAGUGGCGAAGGCGACUCUUUGGCCUAUAACUGACACUGAGGCGCGAAAGCGUGGGGAGCAAACAGG